GGGGAAUAUUGCACAAUGGGGGAAACCCUGAUGCAGCAACGCCGCGUGAGGGAAGAAGGUCUUCGGAUUGUAAACCUUUGUCCUUGGUGACGAAACAAAUGACGGUAGCCAAGGAGGAAGCUCCGGCUAACUACGUGCCAGCAGCCGCGGUAAUACGUAGGGAGCAAGCGUUGUCCGGAUUUACUGGGUGUAAAGGGUGCGUAGGCGGCUCUGCAAGUCAGGCGUGAAAACUAUGGGCUUAACCCAUAGCCUGCGUUGGAAACUGUGGGGCUUGAGUGAAGUAGAGGUAGGCGGAAUUCCCGGUGUAGCGGUGAAAUGCGUAGAGAUCGGGAGGAACACCAGUGGCGAAGGCGGCCUACUGGGCUUUAACUGACGCUGAAGCACGAAAGCAUGGGGAGCAAAC
rnacentral:rRNA from 1 species